rnacentral:rRNA from 1 species
UACGGAGGGUGCGAGCGUUGUUCGGAAUCACUGGGCGUAAAGGGCGUGUAGGCGGUCCGUUAAGUCUGAUGUGAAAGCCCGGGGCUCACCCCCGGAAGGGCAUUGGAAACUGGCGGACUCGAGUCCCGGAGAGGAGAGUGGAAUUCCUGGUGUAGCGGUGAAAUGCGUAGAUAUCAGGAGGAACACCGGUGGCGAAGGCGGGUCUCUGGGCCGAUACUGACGCUGAGGAGCGAAAGCGUGGGGAGCGAACAGG